CCAAAGAGCAAUUUGCUCAAUUAACAGCAAAUGACUGUUAAUCAUUGGGUCCCUGGUUCGAGUCCAGGUCGUGGAGCCA
rnacentral:tRNA from 1 species